GACGAAAUAGAUUAUAAAUGUAUAUUUGUCAAGAGUUUCUUAUCUCGUGAAUGCUGCUUUACAUUUUAAACAUUUCAUUGUAAAUGUUUGUCUUCUGAAACAAACAUAUGAUAUGAACUGAGUGUAUGUCAGUUGUGUGUAGACUUUGUAUUAUGUGUAUGUCAGUUGUGUGUAGACUUUGUAUUAUGUGUAUGUCAGUUGUGUGUAUACUUUGUAUCAUGUUUACUUCCUUAGUCGGAGUUUAAAAAGAGAAAUAUGCAUCAGGCCUAAAUACAUUUCGUAUUACCAAUGGUAUUUCAACUGAUCGGGCGGAGCUUACGUUUUAAUUUGUAUGAGGACAGUCGAUUUGAAAUGUGUGAUUACGAUGAUUGCCGUUAUAGUUAUUACUGAUUUCUAAUCACCUAUCAGUGACCUCAAAGGAAUUUACAAAAGAAUGACUGGACAAUGCAUUAAUGAGUGUAUCCUAAAACACCUAUCUAUAGAUGGACUGGUUUAUUGUGAGCGAACUGGAUAAACUCCGCCCAGUCAAGUGAAAUAAAUUGAGUAAUAACAUCUAAUUAAGAAUUUAGUAGUUUGCAAACACAGAAAUAUUUGAUACAGCUUGAUCUUUUUUACAAUUUCGUUGGUCAAUACAUCCGA
rnacentral:lncRNA from 1 species